rnacentral:rRNA from 1 species
UACGUAGGGGCAAGCGUUGUUCGGAAUUACUGGGCGUAAAGGGCGCGUAGGCGGCAUGGCAAGUCAGGAGUGAAAGGCCUGGGCUCAACCGAGGAACUGCUUUUGAUACUGCCAAGCUAGAGUGCGGCAGAGGGGAUGGAAUUCCGCGUGUAGCAGUGAAAUGCGUAGAUAUGCGGAGGAACACCGAUGGACGAAGGCAAUCCCUGGGCCUGCACUGACGCUCAUGCACGAAAGCGUGGGGAGCAAACAGG